GAGUUUGAUCAUGGCUCAGGACGAACGCUGGCGGCGUGCUUAACACAUGCAAGUGGAGCGACGAACCAGGGCUUGCCCUGGGGCAAAGCCGCGAACGGGGUGAGUAACACGUGAGUAAUCUGCCCCGAUGACUGGGACAACCCGAGGAAACUCGGGCUAAUACCGGAUGUUUUGCACACUCAUAAGGGUGUGUAGGAAAGGUAGCUUCGGCUUCCGCAUCGGGAGGGGCUCGCGGCCCAUUAGCUUGUUGGUGGGGUCAAGGCCCACCAAGGCAACGAUGGGUAGCUGGUCUGAGAGGACGAUCAGCCACACUGGGACUGAGACACGGCCCAGACUCCUACGGGAGGCAGCAGUGGGGAAUCUUGCGCAAUGCGCGAAAGCGUGACGCAGCAGCGCCGCGUGAGGGAAGACGGCCUCGGUU
rnacentral:rRNA from 1 species